rnacentral:tRNA from 1 species
AGGGAUGUGAUGAAAUGGUAUCAUGGGGGUCUCCAAAACCCCUCUUCUGGGUUCGAGCCCCGGCAUCCCUG